rnacentral:rRNA from 1 species
AUACGGGGGGUGCAAGCGUUAAUCGGAAUUACGGGGCGUAAAGCGCGCGUAGGCGGUUUGCUCAGUCGGAUGUGAAAGCCCAGGGCUCAACCUUGGAACUGCAUACGAUACUGGCAAACUAGAGUGUGAGAGAGGAUAGUGGAAUUUCCGGUGUAGCGGUGAAAUGCGUAGAUAUCGGAAGGAACAUCAGUGGCGAAGGCGACUGUCUGGCUCAACACUGACGCUGAGGUGCGAAAGCGUGGGUAGCAAGCAGGAUUAGAAACCCCAGUAGUCC